GGCAGCAGAGACCUGCCACACCUGCUGUCUCCCUCUCCGCCUGCUCUUCGGACCCCAGCGGUCUAUACGCUCAGAGCUGCUUGGGUGGGCCUCUCUCGUACCAGGGGUGGUCUGUGUGUGUGUGUGUGUGUGUGUGUGUGUGUGUGCGCGCGCGCAGGCCUGUGGCGGGUGCAGUGGCAUCACUAUGGCUUCCAGCACAGGUGGAAUACCCAGGCAGAACAACAGGCUUUGGCAUGUGCCUCGUCGUGGGUAAGUCCAUGGCCCCUCCACUCAGCCAGCGUCCCUGGCAAUCAAGGCAAUCAAUCUCAUGCUCACAGGCACAGAAAGCCAGGAGCAUCUUUUCUGGGCUUCAGAUCCAUAUUGGCCGACACUUGGGGUGAGUGCCUGGGACAGAUACUGGCGGGGAGAACGGUGUCCUGCCACAUCAGACAGCAGGACGCUGAAGGCCACUGCUGCUGGUGACUUCCCCUGGUGGCUUAUUUAUUUCUGGGGACUGAUUACUCUCUGGGCUGGCUCCCUCCUCCCCGGCAGGGUCCUGAUCCGCGUUUCCUCCUGCACCUUCUUGUCUAGAACCAUGGCAGCCCCCAUACCAGUCUGUUUGGGCUUCAGAGUUGCUGUGUUGAGUACUCAGGGCAGCCUUUCCCCCUCCCUCAGAAGAAGCAUGGUAGCCGCAGAGGCCACUGCCAGUCCAGAGCUCAGGGUUAAGGAGAUGCAUCCCUCUUGAAACCACUUGGAAGUAUGAGGAUGGUGGAUAAGGGAGCUGGGAGGAGCCUGACCACUGACAGCAUUGAGGACCAGGAAUCAGCUCUUGCCAGUGGUAUCAUGUCACCACUGGACUAACACACCCGCUGGUGGGCAGGACCUCAUACUCUUACAGGCCCUCCGCUCAGCAGCCAGAGAGGGGUUAUAGGCCUCUGUGUAGGAGAGGAGGAGACCCAGGAUCUGCUGGCCUGAAGGAACCCCUCUGGGGGAUGGCCUUGACCAGUCACCAGGUACUGCCCACCCUGAGAUGCAGCCA